GAUGAACGCUGGCGGCGUGCCUAAUACAUGCAAGUCGAGCGAACGGACGAGAAGCUUGCUUUUCUGAUGUUAGCGGCUGACGGGUGAGUAACACGUGUAUAACCUACCUAUUAUACUUGGAUAACUUCGGGAAACCGGAUCUAAUACCGGAUAAUAUUUUGAACCGCAUGGUUCAAAAGUGAAUGACGGUCUUGCUGUCUCUUAUAGAUUGAUCCGCGCUGCAUUAGCUAGUUGGUAAGGUAACGGCUUACCAAGGCAACGAUGCAUAGCCGACCUGAGAGGGUGAUCGGCCACACUGGAACUGAGACACGGUCCAGACUCCUAAGGGAGGAAGCAGUAGGGAAUCUGCCGAAAUGGGCGAAAGCCUGACGGAGCAAAGCCGCGUGAGUGAUGAAGGACUUCGGAUCGUAAAACUCUGUUAGUAGGGAAGAAAAUAUGUGUAAGUAACUGUGCACAUAUUGACGGUACCUAAGCAGAAAGCAACGGCUAACUACGUG
rnacentral:rRNA from 1 species